rnacentral:rRNA from 1 species
UGAGGAAUAUUGGUCAAUGGGCGAGAGCCUGAACCAGCCAAGUCGCGUGAGGGAAGACGGCCCUACGGGUUGUAAACCUCUUUUGUCAGGGAGCAAGAACAGAUACGUGUAUCUGAGCGAGAGUACCUGAAGAAAAAGCAUCGGCUAACUCCGUGCCAGCAGCCGCGGUAAUACGGAGGAUGCGAGCGUUAUCCGGAUUUAUUGGGUUUAAAGGGUGCGUAGGCGGACUGCCAAGUCAGCGGUAAAAUUGCGGGGCUCAACCCCGUCGAGCCGUUGAAACUGGCGGUCUUGAGUGGGCGAGAAGUAUGUGGAAUGUGUGGUGUAGCGGUGAAAUGCAUAGAUAUCACGCAGAACUCCGAUUGCGAAGGCAGCAUACCGGCGCCCGACUGACGCUGAAGCACGAAAGCGUGGGUAUCGAACAGG